rnacentral:rRNA from 1 species
GAGGAAUAUUGCGCAAUGGACGAAAGUCUGACGCAGCCAUGCCGCGUGCAGGAUGAAGGCCCUAUGGGUUGUAAACUGCUUUUGUACGGGAAAAAACCCUUCUACGUGUAGAAGGCUGAUGGUACCGUAAGAAUAAGCACCGGCUAACUCCGUGCCAGCAGCCGCGGUAAUACGGAGGGUGCAAGCGUUAUCCGGAUUUAUUGGGUUUAAAGGGUCCGCAGGCGGACCGUUAAGUCAGUGGUGAAAGCCCACAGCUCAACUGUGGAAUUGCCAUUGAUACUGGCGGUCUUGAGUAUGUAUGAAGUUGGCGGAAUGUGUGGUGUAGCGGUGAAAUGCUUAGAUAUCACACAGAACACCGAUUGCGAAGGCAGCUGGCUAAUACAUAACUGACGCUGAGGGACGAAAGUAUGGGGAUCAAAC